UGAGUAAUGUCUGGGAAACUGCCUGAUGGAGGGGGAUAACUACUGGAAACGGUAGCUAAUACCGCAUAACGUCGCAAGACCAAAGGGGGGGACCUUCGGGCCUCUUGCCAUCAGAUGUGCCCAGAUGGGAUUAGCUAGUAGGUGGGGUAAUGGCUCACCUAGGCGACGAUCCCUAGCUGGUCUGAGAGGAUGACCAGCCACACUGGAACUGAGACACGGUCCAGACUCCUACGGGAGGCAGCAGUGGGGAAUAUUGCACAAUGGGCGCAAGCCUGAUGCAGCCAUGCCGCGUGUGUGAAGAAGGCCUUCGGGUUGUAAAGCACUUUCAGCGAGGAGGAAGGUGGUGAACUUAAUACGUUCAUCAAUUGACGUUACUCGCAGAAGAAGCACCGGCUAACUCCGUGCCAGCAGCCGCGGUAAUACGGAGGGUGCAAGCGUUAAUCGGAAUUACUGGGCGUAAAGCGCACGCAGGCGGUUUGUUAAGUCAGAUGUGAAAUCCCCGGG
rnacentral:rRNA from 1 species